CAGCCGCCGCGGUAAUACCGGCGGCCCGAGUGGCGGUCACUAUUAUUGGGCUUAAAGCGUCCGUAGCCGGGUUGGGAAGUCCUCCGGGAAAUCUGGCCGCUUAACGGUCAGAAUGCCGGAGGAUACUCCCAGCCUAGGGGGCGGGAGAGGCCGAGGGUAUUCCCGGAGUAGGGGUGAAAUCCUAUAAUCCCGGGAGGACCACCUGUGGCGAAGGCGCUCGGCUGGAACGCGUCCGACGGUGAGGGACGAAGGCCAGGGGAGCAAACCGGAUUAGAUACCCGGGUAGUCCUGGCUGUAAACGAUGCGGACGUUGUGUCGGACAAGCUAUGAGCUUGUCCGGUGCCGGAGGGAAACCGUUAAGUCCGCCGCCUGGGGAGUACGGCCGCAAGGCUGAAACUUAAAGGAAUUGGCGGG
rnacentral:rRNA from 1 species